UACGUAGGGGGCAAGCGUUGUCCGGAAUCAUUGGGCGUAAAGAGCGUGUAGGCGGCCCGAUAAGUCCGCCGUGAAAGUCCAGGGCUCAACCCUGGAAUGCCGGUGGAAACUGUCGGGCUGGAGUCCGGAAGAGGCGAGUGGAAUUCCUGGUGUAGCGGUGAAAUGCGCAGAUAUCAGGAAGAACACCAAUGGCGAAAGCAGCUCUCUGGGACGGUACUGACGCUGAGACGCGAAAGCGUGGGGAGCGAACAGG
rnacentral:rRNA from 1 species